rnacentral:rRNA from 1 species
AGAGUUGAUCCUGGCUCAGGAUGAACGCUGGCGGCGUGCUUAACACAUGCAAGUCGAACGAAGCACUUAUUACGAUCCCUCGGGGUGACGAUUUGUGACUGAGUGGCGGACGGGUGAGUAACGCGUGGGUAACCUGCCUCAUACAGAGGGAUAACAGUUGGAAACGGCUGCUAAUACCUCAUAAGCGCACAGUACCGCAUGGUACGGUGUGAAAAAACUCCGGUGGUAUGAGAUGGACCCGCGUCUGAUUAGCUAGUUGGAGGGGUAACGGCCCACCAAGGCAACGAUCAGUAGCCGACUUGAGAGAGUGAUCGGCCACAUUGGGACUGAGACACGGCCCAAACUCCUACGGGAGGCAGCAGUGGGGAAUAUUGCACAAUGGGGGAAACCCUGAUGCCAGCGACGCCGCGUGAAGGAUGAAGUAUUUCGGUAUGUAAACUUCUAUCAGCAAGGAAGAAAAUGACGGUACUUGACUAAGAAGCCCCGGCUAAAUACGUGCCAGCCGCUGC